rnacentral:rRNA from 1 species
UAAGUUUGAUCAUGGCUCAGAUUGAACGCUGCGGCAUGCUUUACACAUGCAAGUCGAACGGCAGCGCGGGCUUCGGCCUGGCGGCGAGUGGCGAACGGGUGAGUAAUAUAUCGGAACGUACCCAAGAGUGGGGGAUAACGUAGCGAAAGUUACGCUAAUACCGCAUACGAUCUAAGGAUGAAAGCAGGGGACCGCAAGGCCUUGUGCUCCUGGAGCGGCCGAUAUCUGAUUAGCUAGUUGGUGAGGUAAAGGCUCACCAAGGCAACGAUCAGUAGCUGGUCUGAGAGGACGACCAGCCACACUGGAACUGAGACACGGUCCAGACUCCUACGGGAGGCAGCAGUGGGGAAUUUUGGACAAUGGGGGCAACCCUGAUCCAGCAAUGCCGCGUGAGUGAAGAAGGCCUUCGGGUUGUAAAGCUCUUUUGUCAGGGAAGAAAAGGUCGUGGCUAAUAUCCACGACUGCUGACGGUACCUGAAGAAUAAGCACCGGCUAACUACGUGCCAGCAGCCCGCGG